AGGCCGUUCCUGAACAGAAGGAUCCAGAUCCUGAGUUUCCAACAGUGAAAUACCAGAAUCCCAAAGAGGGUAAGUUGUUUUGACUAUCUUUUGCUUUGGCUGACAAAACCAAGGCCAGAAUUGUUUUAGCAAAUCACCAGGAUGCUGAUAGGCUUGCUGUGGCAAAAAAGCAAGACAGUGGUGAAUGGAGAGUGUUUUGGGGCAAUAAGUUGGGGGCCCUCCUGGGCUGGUGGAUUUUUACACCUUGGAACGAGAAGAACCGGGAUUGCAGUGGUUUCAAAGACCCUUACAUGUUGUCUAGCAACAUCUUCUCCAAAAUCUUGCGGGCUAUUGCCCUAAAGGAGGGUUUUCAUUUUGAGGAAACAUUAACUGGCUUUAAGUGGAUGGGAAACAGAGCCAAACAGCUAAUAGGCCAGGGGAAAACUAUCUUAUUUGCAUUUGAAGAAGCUAUUGGAUACAUGUGCUGCCCUUUUAUUCUGGACAAAGAUGGACUCAGUGCCGCUGUCAUUAAGUGCAGAGUUGGCUAGCUUUCCAGCAACCAAAAAUUUGUCUCAGCAACUAAAGGCCAUUUAUGUGGAGUAUAGCCACCAUAUUACGAAAGCUUCCUAUCUGCCAUGAUCAAGACACCAUUAAGAAAUUAUUUGAGUACCGAAACUCCGUCUCAAAAAAAAAAAAAAAAAAAGCUUGCAGCAAAUUUGAAAUUUCUGCCAUUAGGGACCUUACAACUAGCUAUAAUGAUAGCUAGCCUGAUAAAAAAGAUGUUCUUCCCACUAGUAAAAGCAGCCAAAUGAUCACCUUCACCUUUGCUAAUGGAGGCGUGGCCACCAUGGGCACCAGUGGGACAGAGCCCAAAAUCAAGUACUAUGAGCUGUGUGCCCCACCUGGAAACAGUGAUCCUAAGCAGCUGAAGAAGGAACUGAAUGAACUGGUCAGUGCUAUUGAAGAACAUUUUUUCCAGCCACAGAAGUAUAAUCUGCAGCCAAAAGGAGAUCAAAAUACUCUAGCCUUGGGCAUACUUGCAUUUACCUACAGUUAAGCUGAGUUUAACUUGUUAAGCAAUAUUUUUGAGGGCCAAAUGAUUCAAAAUAUUACAAGUAUUUAUGUGUUUCACAAAGAACUACAUUCCUCAUUGUUUCAUGUUUGAUCUUUAAGGUGAAAAAAGAAAAGAUGGCCAAACUCAGCAAACCAACAUUCCUACUAAAAAGUUGAAGUUGGACAUUUCAUUUUUACAAAUGAAGAUUUUUAAACUAAAAAAAAGAGAUAGAUUGUAAUUGAUGUGCCUUAAUUUGCAAAAAUCAUAAAUGUUUGUCCUGUCUGUAAUUCUUUUUAUGUAUGCUUGAAAUAGCCAGAAAACCUAUGCAGUUGGUAAAUUCUGGACUGUCAUAUGUGGGACAGCCACUUUUUAGGUAUAUGUAAACUUAUGUUUCUAUCAAUUCCUUAUAAAGUAAAAUAAAUGAAC